GUGUUUGGCAGGGCGUACUGGGGGAGGUGGAGGGGUGUGUGUGUGUGUGCGUGGUCUCCGUCGUCUCGUUCUCUAAUCAGAAGAUCUCUAUUUCCUGAGCAAGUCUCCAGAAGCACAGUCGUCUUUAAAUAUUCUGGACCAAGGGCGAGGCUUGCAGGAGUCGGGGCGGAGCGAGAAGGCGCCGCAGUGCUCUCUCCAGCACCACUAGGAUGGGGUUGCCCCUGACCCAGGGGUGCUUACAGCGGAACACUCGCAGCACACACACACACUCACUCUCACGCUCCUAUCGAAUUCAGGGCUCCAGGGGCUAAAGGAGCCUGCGGAAGUAGAAGCCAGCACCAGAUUCCUUCCUAGUCCCUACAAGCCCCUGACAGUUGGACAGGUGACCUCCAGAUUACAGACGGAGUCUCCAGAGAUAGAGGCUUUAGUGGACGAAAUUCGCAAAAUAACCAUCUCAGAUCCUGAGAAGGAGGGAGAAGAAACUGGACGCAGCUCACCUCUUCAGAUCCACACUUCAUCGCCCCGCCCCUUUUCUUUUCAGGUCACCAUGUCUGCAGGCAACGUCACCCCUUGGGGUCAUCAGCGGCGGGGGAGGAGGUCUGGGUAGGAUCAGGAGUAGAGGUGGAGGGCGCAGAGCUGCCCACCUUCUCAGUUGCCGCCAAGGUGCGAAUGGGAGUGACUGUCGUGCUGUUUGUUUCUUCGGCUGCAGGGAACCUGGCCGUGCUGUGGUCAGUGAAACGGCCGCAACCCAGCCAACUCCGUCCCUCUCCGGUACGACGACUGUUCGCCCAUUUAGCAGUUGCCGACUUACUGGUCACUUUUGUGGUUAUGCCCCUAGAUGCGACCUGGAAUAUCACUGCUCAAUGGCUGGCCGGGGACAUUGCAUGUCGGACACUCAUGUUCCUGAAACAGGUGGCCAUGUAUGCCGCAGCUUUCCUGCCUGGUUAUUGGGCUCGACCACCAGGCAGCCGUACUCCACCCGUUUGGACCGCGCUCAGCUGGAAGGAAAUUUCUUGGGGUAGCCUGGGGACUCAGCUUCCUGCUCGCCUUGCCCCAGGCCCACCUUCUUCAGAUUAUUGCAGGAAAGCUUCAGAGCAUGGAGUUUCCUCCAUGGGAAGACAUUAAGAAGACAGUGACAAGAAAACUAAAAAAAAAAAAGUGAAAUCCAGGACUUUGGGUAAAACUUUGUGAUACCUUCCUUCAUCAAUUAAAAAAAAAAAAUGCAGUUCCCCCAGGUGCAUUAAAUGCUCUAUCAAGGAUAGAGCAACAAAGUCUUGCCUUCAAGAAAUUUACAGAUGAGUGCAGAGUCAAAUAAGUAGGCAAUUACAAUAUAAUGUCCAGUUAAGUGUUAUGCUAAAGCUAAGCAUAAGGAGCUAAGGAACAAUGGGGGGUGUCUGACCCACUUUUGGUCAUUCAGGGAAAGCUUCCUGACUUCCUAGAGAUAUCAAAAUUUCAUUCUUGAAAGAUAGGUGUUAAGACAAAGCAGGAGGAAUGCUGGAGAAGGUGGAGGGUAGAAAAUCUCAAAAGUAAUCGCAGUUAAAGUUGAGGGCUAGAAAAUGGCAAGUAAUGAGCCUGGAGGGGAAGGAAGAACCAAUUUCACAAAUAUUAAGCUUGUACUUUAUCCUAAGGGCAGUGGGGAAACACUAAAGUAAAAGGUAGAGAGUAACAUAAUCAGAUUUGCAUUUUUUACUCUAGCUUUAUUGUGUCAAAAUGGAAACAAAAGGGUGCAUCUGAACUUGAGUACCAAUUAAUCAAAUCUCAGUAUUGAAAACAAACUAUAAAUCUAGAAGAAGAAAAAAAAAGCUAAAUAUAGAGCAAUUCCUUCAAAACAAAACCACUACCACCAUCUGGGAAAAGGGAGUAAAGCAGCGUCUCUGAGCCUGUGGUUGGGAUUAUGUCAGGGAGAGGGGUAACAUUUCAGUCUCUGGAAUAAUGCAUUGUAGUCACAUUUAAGAUUGGAUUCUUAAAUCCUCAAAUAUUAGAAAUGUAACUACCAAAAGUUAGUCUGACUGCAGUUCUAAGACAAACAAAAAAUACUGCUUCCAACAGUAUGUUGUAAACAGGACCCCUUUGCCUGUUGCCUCAGUGCAAAAGAAAUUAAUUGGGUUUAUAUGAAAUGAAUUUUAGAAGUGGACUGGGAAUUAGGACUGUUUUUGUUGUUUGUAUUAAUUUGCUCUGUUUUUUUCUGAGUCUAGGCUCUACCACUAACUAGCUGGAUAACUUUGGCUAAAUCACUUGAAAUCCAUAGACCACAAGAUUAUGGAAUAGAUGAAUUUCAUCCUUCCUUGGAGACUGACAGUCCAAUAGUGCAAUUUCUAUUUGCUUCAAUAGCAAACUGAUGGUAACAUGAUUCAGGUGCAAAAAGUGUUCUUUUGGGUUCCAAAUUAUCAACCUCUUUAAAAAAAAAUUAUCAACCUCUUGUAUAAAUUCUGCAAUGCCCAUAUGUUGCAUUUAAAAUAUGUCAAUUAAAAAUUGUUAGCAUGGUCAAGGGAA